GGUCUGAAACUCUUGGGCUAUCUACAUCUGAAGCCUAUAUAAGGCAGGUUUAAUCAAUCAAUACAUACAAUCGCAAAAAUACUAAGGAGUGUUCUGCCAAUAUGGGGAUGUACGAUCUUGGUCGUGAUUUGUCAACCUUCACGAAUAAGAGCUUCAGGAAUAAGAGCGCGAUCAAGGUAAGGGUUGUAUGUACGUACUUAGUGAUGGAGAGGAAAGGUUUGUAUUCCAUGAUGAACAUGUACGUCUCAUCCUCCCUUAUUCACCUGCGAAAUAAUAUUUCUGUAGUUAGUAUGGUGCACUUUAAAAAUUAAAAGAAUGUUUUCUGCUUGCAGGGCUCUGUUAAACAUGUGCUUAUACCAAAAACAUUAGUAGACAAUUUCAUGAACAGCAAACUGACAGGUUUUUUAAUUAUCUUGGUGAUGAUAACAAACUGACAGGUUUUUUUCAAUUAUGGUUGAAAAUUUAGGGUUUCCUAAGUGAUGAGGCAGACAGUCCAGUGCAACUCUUGGAAUGACCACACCACAUGAGGUUAGUGAAGGCCCUGCCAAGAGGUCCUUGCUAGAUGAGUUCUCAUCGACCAAGGAAUCGAAGAAAAUUAGAGAAACUGUUGUCAAAAGUUGAAAAGAUAGAUUAGGUUGGGGUUGAUGAUGAAUUGAAUUCUGUAAUGGAUAUUCUGAACAAUUUUUUUGACAAACUUGAGAUUUUGAACUUUUGUUUUAUUGUUUGUGCACUAUAGUCCUGAACAAUAAUGUACUGGAAUUGGUUUAUGAAGAGCUAUUCUAAUAGUUCUAAUUUA